UUGCAUAGCCUUCCUUCCUCCCUUUCCCCAGGUUCAUCAACCUGGAGAAAAGCUAGUCAAGUCUGGACACCAGAAGAAGGCCGCUGUCUGCUCCAGGAGGCUUUCUGAUCCACCCCCACCACCUCCACCCCUCUUCUACUGCCUGCAGCCCAGUGUUUUGCAGGAGCCGAGCACUGAGGAGACGAAGUAAACAGCAGGGCUCAUGGGACUGAAGUGAUGCCCCUGAGGCUGCAAGCCAGCAAGUGGCAGAGUGAUGUUCGGUCUAUUUCUCCAGGAGUGCAGCCUCCUGGUCCCGCUCAGCAGUCUUCUGGUUCUUUUGGACUGAUAUCUAGUCAUUGAAAAUAAAAGCAGUCAUGAAACCCUGUGACCUACAAGAAAGCUCUUUCUUCAAUCCUUCAUAUGCUGAGCUGACAACUGUCACGCAGGUCCUACUUCUCUGGUUGAUGUGUACGGCACUGACACAGACACGCAGGUUAUGUGGAUUGUGAACAAAGCUUGCACGCUGACAGACCUGCUGAAAGUUGCUGCUUCCUUGGUUGCUCUAGGUUUGCACUUGCCCAGCUCGGCUGGCUAUAUCUGAAUGAACCAGUUUCUUAUCUUACCUCCCUUACCUUGGCCGUGUAAGACCCAUUUCAGGAAGCCCAGUUUAUUACUUUUCUUUACCUUUUGUCUAAUGGUUACUCAGUGAGCCAGGAACAUGUGAUUUAAUUGCUACAUCUCCAAUGUAUCUGCACCGCCAUUUUCUACUUGUUCAAUAAAUAUUUACUGAAAGCCUGCUUCAUGCCUGGCCCUCUGUAGGCACAGAGUACCUGCCCCUACGGAACAACCUGUCUAGUCAUUUAGAGUCAUAAAACAUAUGAUUCCCCAAUAGAAAAUAGGUGUACGCAUAAUACAAGCCAACUUUUAU